CAAUCCUCGUGAAGAUAUGCCAAUCCUUUGGCAGAGCCAACAGCAACUCUCAUUCUGGCCUCCCAAGGUAGGGUCGACUGUCCACCUCCUGCAACGAUCACUUUCCAUCAGAAUCCUUUCCAUUAAACGCAAAAGGCUCCAAGUUCUCUGAUUAGUGUUCCCUUUCUUUUUUUCACAUAACCCCAAAUGCUAAAUCGGACGCGGAAAUUAGACUGAUAAAGAAAGAGGAGGCGACAUAAAAGCUCGCAGCAUUAAUUGGUACUGAAAAUCCAAACUAACCACGUAAGUGUGACUGCAAGGACCCGUUAGGCACAAACUCAUACACAAGGAUGCGCUCGGACCCCUCUCUGCAGUAUCCAACCAAAGACACGACAUGCUUGUGAUGCACUUGGUUUAUUUUUUUAACCUCGUUCAGAAACUCACUCUCUCCCUGUCCGCUUCCCACGUCCAGUCGCUUCACUGCUACCUCUUCCCCGUUGGGAAGGACUCCACGGUACACGCACCCAUAACCACCUCGUCCGAGUAGACUUGCCCCUGAGAAGUGGCUGGUGAACGCCUGCACUUGUUCAAGAGUAAAAUGACACAUGGCGGAACCGAGAGGAAUGUUAGGGGAUGCAGAGCGAAGCUGCAUUCUCCGGUUCUUCCUAUUUAGACAGUAUUUCAGCACCACAACCAGCAUCAGCGCCAGCGCCAAAACUGCGACCGCCACUGCUGCCAUGUGCUUCGUCAAUAUGGUGAACCAAGACGAAGGAGAAUUGGCCGAAGGGGACCCAAAAGAAGCUGACGGCAUAGGAGAUGCCAGGGUGGUGGUGGCAAGCAGCAGCGUUGUCGUAUUGGUGGCUGCCGUCGGCCAUGGCCAGGAGCCUGGAAGUGGAAUUAACAUUAAUGCAGAAACUCAGACUGAGAGUGAGCGCCAGAGAGGAAAGAGUGUAGGAUUCAAGCAGGGCUCAUAGGAAUUGUUAAAUAGAGGAGGGAGGGAGGGAGGGAGGGAGGAGGGAUGGAAAGGUUGGAAUGAUUGGCGUUUGGGUCACGUGGUGACUUGGUGAAAUUUAAUUUGCUUGAAUGCAGAAUUCUCCCCAUAAUUCGGGUUCUGACGCAACAAAUCUUCUUUUCUAAUUAUUUUUUUUCCUUCCAAUCUUCAUUCAAUCUUGACAUAAGGAUGUCACUCCCAAAUAAAAGACAAAACAGCAGGCAACAAGCAAGCAAGCAACAGUUCGAUCAGAAAAAAUAGGGGCAGCGACAAUAUCAUCAACGAAGAUGCGGACACCACCCCUAAGAUAUCGCAUCUUCCGACUUGCUUCCUACUUUAUAGAAGCCAAAUAAGGGUUGAUGCCAUAGUCAUUCAUACACACGUUGUGUUCUUUUUAUAAAAAAGGGUUGACCGUGAUAUACAGCACCGAAUUCGUUGGGACAAAUAAUCUUACUUUAAUUCUUUUGCAUGAACAUGAGUCUUAAUUGACAAUUCUGGGACAAUUAAAUAUUAGUUUGACAAAGAUGCGAGCUUCAAAGAUAAGCUAGGGCAUUUGGUUACCUUUUUGUUUUUGUUCCAAAUAAUGGAAAACAUCUGAAAGUGAGCCUACUUUGCAAGUCAAUAGCAUGCCUCAAGUCAACCCUCAUGUCUAGCGCCUAAUCCUAUACAUUCUUCUGCUACAAUUAGACACCAAUGGAAGAGUUAACCCUAAUUUUAGUUCCAUCAGGUAUGUUACAUACCCAAAAGGUGUCUAUAUUGCCAUGAAAUAGUCUUUUAUAGCUAUGCUUCGAAAAUAUUAUAGAUUAUUAUAUGAUCACACGUCAUAUCUCAAUUACAAGAUUUUGGAAACCUAUGCUAUAAAUCUUGUAGUCGGACAAAGCUACCGCUAAGAUGAAUUUUUCCCUUUCUAUAAAGAAGCCGAACCUCAUGCUUUAGGCCAAGUUCGACUGCUCUUUUUUUGUUCCUUCUUUACUUACAGCUAAUUACCCAUUUUCAUGUCAAUUAGCAUCCUUGUGAGUUUAUGUCAUCGUGACAUGUUGCAACCUCUCAUUAACUAAUGUCCUCUAGGCACAUCGACCAAACACGGAUUCCCACAUAGCAAGACCAUGCUCUGAGCUUUGCAUAUUGCUUUCAGACAUCUCUCAUCCGCCAACAUUUCAAACAACACAACACCGCUAGCCAGCAGCUGCUCAUCCUGUCAUAGCCUUCCUACCUUAUUCCGCUUAUCGGGUAGAAGUACACCUCAAGUGUCAAAACUUUGCACGGAAGGACAUUUAAGUGCCAAAAGUUUGGAAAUUAACACUUAAAUGCCAAAAUUGAAGCAAAAUGGAUCAUUUAAGUGUCACUCUAGCCAAAAUCUGACCAAAUUGUUGACGUGGCAAUUUUCCGACAAGGUGAGUGCAAAAUGGUGUCAUUUUGCACACUGACAUGAGUAAAAAAUACAAAAACGAUGUCGUUUUGUCUUUACGUGGUAAAUAAUUAAUAUAAAAAUUAAUUAAAUUAAAUUUAUUUAAAAUAUUAAAAAAAAAAAAAGGGGUGGGGAGCCGAAAGGAGGCCGCUAAGGGCUACGCCCUCGCCUCCGCCGGGAAAGGUUGGCGAUGGAGGGGGGAGGGUCGCUGACCCUCGCCCAAUUCACCACCCCCAAACUACGGCAAGGGCCUGCGAGCCCUCAUCAGAUCUGGGACGAGGGCCGCCGACCCUCACCGGAUCUGGGCAAGGGCCACAACCCUCACCAUCGGUUGGCCAAUGGCCGGCGAGCCCCACCAACUCUCCCCCCUCCGUCGCCGGCUCUUCCUGGCGACAGUGACAAAAGCUCAACCCUUAGCCGCCUCCUCCCUUCCCUUCGGCCCCCCUUUUUUUUAAAUUUAAGUUUUUUAUUUUUUAAAAUAUUUUAAAUGAACUUAGUUAUAAAUUUAAUUUAAUUAAUUUUUAUAUUAAUUAUUUACCACAUCAGAAACAAAACAUUAUUUUUGUAUUUUCUAACCACGUUAACGUGCAAAACAACGUUUUCCACUCACCUCGCCGGAAAAUUGCCAAGUCAGCAAUUUGGCCAGAAUGACACUUAACUGAUUCAUUUGCUCCAAUUUUGACAUUUAAGUAUCCAUUUUCCAAACUUUUGGUACUUAAAUGUUUCUCCGUGCCAAAUUUUGGCACCCCAGAUGUCCAUACAUCCCACUUAUCGUGCUGCCAAGCCUGCCAUUGCCCGUGGGCAACGCUAUUGCCCUAGUUUCAUACACCAUUUGACGUGUGCACCCCACUAGAUAGAGGGUGAUGUCCCACAACUCAUCACCCCUUUCGUAAUUUUUGCCUCCUGGGACCCUCGUCAUCAUGACUUUUUCAUUUUAUCAGAUCCCAUCUUGACUUGGAUAGUGAAAUUUGACUCAACUAAAUUCAAGAUUCUUAACCCCCCAAAAAAUAAAAAUAAAAAUUAUGUAAAGAUCACCCUUACGAAAUUUUAGUUAAGUCGUGAUUAGGCCCUCUACGCCUUGCAAGGACUGCUCGUUUACUCUCUCACUUUCUUUCCGACAUGGUCCAAUUGACGUUAAUUACUAUAUGCAACACUUUCGAAUUCCACCAAAUGUCUCAGUUUUUUAAAUUUUUUUUCUUCUUUUCCCGUAAUUUGUACUGGGGAGAAGGCGGCAAAAGCCCUUGACAUCUAAUGACACAGCUUGAAUUUGAUUUAUACCUAAAUUUUUUCUUUCCGAGAUUAAACCUUAAUCCCCCAUAUCUUCUCACAUUUACAAAAACAAAUCUUUCUCCAUGGCUACUCUUUCAUUAAACAAAUCAUGAAACCCUAGCAAGCUUCCUUCUUUACUUCACGCCAAAUAGCUAAAGCAAAUUGUGAACAAGCCAAGAUUCCUCCCUCAAGAAAUCAGAACACGCUACUUCUACGAAGCAUCUAGAUGGGCCUCUUGCAUGGUUCUGAAAAGGCCCCACUGCAUGCAGGGGGGAAACAUGCCCAUUGCACUUUUCCAUUGCCCAAAGUUACAAUAAUUUUUUGAAAUCAGCAUAUUCCGAGAAAAGAGAAUAAAACGAACCCAUAAUAUCUUGUACGCUUCCAAUUAACAUAAAGGAGUGUAAAUUCCAACUAUUGCUUUUCAAGCAAAAGCCAAGAUUUCUGUCUUAUUUUGGGCUACACAAGACGUUUCCCUUUUGGUCUUCGCUUAGCCUUUCUAUACUGACAACAAGAAGCCACAGAUGUGUCAUCUUAAAGAGGUUCGUCCUAGUCACACUUUAAUCAUUCACCGCAUGUAUAUCUUUCUUUGUUCGGUUCAUGGCUAUACUGUGUAUGAUCUCAUUUAUCUCAUAAUACCUCAGAUGAUAAUGAAACUAUUUUAGGGAAUCACUUGUAUUUCAUUUCAUGUCUUUUUGUUCCCUACUCUUUUCAUUUUGUUCCCUACUCUUUUCAUCUCAGUUUUCGUCUACAUAACUUUUUGUCGCAUCGUCCCGGUAAAAAUGCUUAAGACCCAAGCAAAGCAAAUGAAUGGAGAUAAUUUAAUCACCGAAUUGUCGCGCACCUCGUCUUGGCGCUUGAACACCACAUGCAAGAUAGAUAUCACGUCCGUCUUGGUGAGAAGUGGGUCGGUCCAAAGAUGCAAUUCAACUGUUGCAGGCAUAUCAUAAUCGCAGUUCCACUCAUGAUACCGAAGAUUGUUGAGUUCAACAAGAAGUCCGCAACAAUAACCAGUCUGCUCAUAAAUUCGAUGAAGAAAAGAGGUGAUUAGUUUCUUUGGCGAUUAACGAAUUAAAGGAGAAAAUACGUUCGAUCGCUCCUAUAUAUAACUUACGAACCCUAAGACUGACUGGCAGAUUACAGUGAAGAUCGAGUUGAGAUACAAGUGGGGGUCAGUGUCCGGCGACAUGUUCUCUUGAAUGGUCGUGUAGCUGGAAACAGUGAAGCUGCAGCCACGGUCCCAAUCGCUAUGUGCUUUGAGCUCCCGAAGAUGGCGUAUACAAUUGGCUACAAAGCUCAGAAUCUGCAAUAAGUCAAUAUCUUGAGUUAUUCGACCAAAUAUAUAUAUAUACUUAAGUCAGAAACAUGAAGAUUUAUUAAAACAAUGGUAUAGUCAUUAUUAUCAUCAUUUUGGUUAAGCCCAAAUGUCGCACCAGAAUUCACCCAAUGAACAAUUCAACCCAAUCUCCUAUUAGUAAAGGAAUCAAACCACUCGAUAACCUAUCUAAAAUAAAUUAAGGUGUCAUUCGCAUCACAUAAGCGAAUGACCCAAUUUGCUAAACAAGCAACACGAGUUCGCUUCUCAAAUUAUGCAGUAUCUUGACCUGUUGAAAAUAUAUAAAAUGUUUUUUAUUAAUAUCCUGAAAAACCCCAAACUAGUACACAUGUAACAAAUUUACUCGAAAUUAAUUUUUUUUAUCAUGAAAAACCCAAUACCGAUACACAUAUAAUAAAUGUACCCUAAAUGAUCACAAAAAACUCCAAAUUGGCACACUUAUAAUAAUUUUAUCCAAAACCAAUUUGUUCAACCUCAAAAUGGUACAUUUGUAACAAAUAUACUCCUCAUUAAAUUAGAUUAAUACCACAAAAAAUCACAAAUUAUACAUUGUGACAUUUAAUCAAUUAUCACGUGUCAUCAAACUUAGCAAUUUGUUAAUAAAAUUUAAUGAAAAUUAACAGAGUAAAUUUGUCACAAGUAUACUAAUUUGAGGUAAAUUUGUUAAAAAUAUAUCGGGAUUUUUGGUAUUAAAAAAUUAAUUUGAAAUAAAUUUAUCAUAUAUAUAUAUAUACCAGUUCGGAUUUUUUCAGGUACAAACCCAAAAGUUUUUUGAAAAGUUUUUUGAGUCUGAGAAAUGAGCAUAUCAUUUCAAACUCCAUCAGAAAGAACUCUCCCUCUCCGUUCCUCACUUCAGUCGCUUCACUGCUUGCAUCUUCCCGCUGGGAGACUCGCAGUACACCCACCCAAAGCACUUUCUCGACUAGAUUGCUCUGAGAGGCACGUGAACUCUGUAUUUUUAAUUUUAAUUUUUUUGGGGGUNNNNNNNNNNNNNNNNNNNNNNNNNNNNNNNNNNNNNNNNNNNNNNNNNNNNNNNNNNNNNNNNNNNNNNNNNNNNNNNNNNNNNNNNNNNNNNNNNNNNAAGAGCGAGCUUCCCGAGGAAGAGGAAAAGGAAAAAGCAAAGGAACCUCUGAAAUGAUAGAGAGAGAGAGAGAGAGGAAAAGGUGAAGGCUCUGGACCCCACUGGACCAGUGGGGACGACUGUAACAUGCUUCCAUGGGAAAAGGAGAGGAUGACACCACCGUUAGGAGCAACGAUGUCGUUUUAUCACUGGAAUCCCGCUUGGUGGAACCUUUAAAUUAAAAAGGUAAAAACAAUAAAUCAAAUUAAAAAAAAAAAAAAAGGAAAGAGAAGAGAUACUUAAAACUUCAUCACUUUGAAACAUUUUCAUAUUCAUUGUAAAAUGAUGUUGCCAUGGAGAGCUCUGAGCUUGCACAUUGCCUUCAGACAUCUCACAUCCUCCAACUAUUUCAAACAACAUGACACCACUCACCUGCAAUUUGGCAUUGAGUACGCCAAAUUCCGCUGCUCAUCCUAUCAUAGCCUUUCUACUUCAUUGCGCUAAUUGUGCUGUGAUUGCUCGUGUACAACACUAUUGUCCCUCGUUUAGGACACGACUUCACGUGCGAACCCCCAUUAAGUCGUGGGUGAGGUCCCACGACUCCCCACACCUCUCCUAAUUAGCCUCCGUGACUGGCGCCUUAUAAUGACUUGCCCAAAUUGUGCUGUGAUUGCUCGUGUGCAACACUAUUUUCCCUCGUUUAGGACACAAAUUUCACGUGCGAACCCCAUCCCACGACCCACCACGCCUCUCCUAAUUUGCCUCCGUGACUGGCGCCUUAAAAUGACUCGCGCUAAUUGAGUCGUGAUUGCUCAUGUGCAACACUAUUUUCCCCCGUUUAGGACACGAUUUCAGGUGCGAACCCCAUUAAGUCGUGACUCACCACGACUCUCCUAAUUUGCUUCCGUGACUGGCGCCUUAUAAUGACUUGGAGACUUUGGGGACAUAGUUUCUACCCCCAUCAUAAAAUUAAGUGAAGACUAGCAGUACGAAAUUUUAAUUAAUUUGGUUUCUGAUGCAUUAGUCAUGAUUAGGUUCUCUGCGCCUAUCACAUGGCAAAUGGCACCGGAGCUUGCUAGGACUGCUCGCUCAUUCUCACUUCCUUUCCGACUCAGUCCAAUUGACGUUAGCUACCAUAUGCAACACUUUCAAAUUCUACCAAAACUUAGUGCAAAUCUUUCUAUACAUGAUAUCCAUUGAUUCAAUUUUUCGAAUUUUUAAUUGGCCAUCAUGUAUACUAUUGACCUUAAUUCCUUAUCUAUCUCAUCCUUUAACAGUCUCGGUUUUUUUCUUUUCUUUUCACGUAAUUUGUACUAGGGAGGAGGCAGCAAGAGUCCUUGACAUCAAAUAACAGAGCUUGAAUUUGAUUUAUACCUAAAUUUUUUCCUUCCAAGAUUGACCCUUCACCACCCCCCCCCAAAAAAAAAAAAGAAAUAAUUCCUCACAUUUACAAAAACAAUUCUCCAUGGCUACUCUCAUUAAACAAAUCAUGAGACCCUAGCAAAUUCCUUCUUUACUUCACACAAUAUGAGGGAUCUCGAAUAGCUAAAGCAAGUGUGAACAAGCCAAGAUGCCUCCCUCAAUAAUUCAUAACAUAAUAUUUCUACGGAGCAUCUAGAUGGCCUCUUCUAUGGUUCUGAAAAGACCCCAUUGCAUGUAGGCGUCAACACGGGGACCCAUGCCCAUCGCACUUUUCCAUUGCACAAGAGUACAAUAAUGUUUUCAAAUCAGCAUAUUUCGAGAAAAGAGAAGAUAAAACGAACCCAUAGUAUCUUUUACGCUUCCAAUUAACAUAAAGGAAAAUGUAAAUUCCAACUUUCGCUUUUAAAGCACAAGCCUAAAUUUCUGUAUUAUGUUGGGCUCAACAAGACGUUUUCCUUACGGUCUUCCCUUAGCCUUAAGCAUAUUGGGCCGUGAAGAAGCCCCGUGGGCUAUGAGGAACAUAAUCAGCCACGGAAAAUGUAUUUUAGACAAAGUUGGCCAAGCCAAGCCCGGCCCAUUAUUUAAAGGGAAGAAAACAGAGUCGCCGACUGGACAGCAAAAGCCCACUGAAGCAAAAAAAGUUCCUUCCAAUUGGGUGUCUAUCCAUCACCAGCCUCUUCUAGAUAUUUUAUGUCGAAAGUACGUCUAUCUUUAUCAUGUACAAUGAAUGAAAAUAAUCACCCGUUUUUAUGACCCCCAAAAAAAAGUGAAUCUCAUACAUUUCAAUUUCAUGUCUCUUUUGUUCCUGUUCUUUUCAUCUAAGGUCUCGUCCACAGAACUUUUUGUCAUACCGUCCCUAGUAAAAUUGCUUAAAACCCAAGACAAGCAAAUGAAUGGAGAUAUAAGUAAAUUUAAUCACUGACUUGUUGCGCACCUCGUCUGGGUUCUUCAACACGGCAUGCAAGACAGAUAUCACGUCCGUUACGGUGGUGAAGUAAGCCAGUCCAAAGAGGCCCUUCAACUGCUGCGGGCAUAUUGUAAUCGCAGCCCCACUCAUGAUACCGACGAUUGUCGAGCGCGUCAAGAAGUCCACAACAAACCCCAGUCUGCUCAUAGAUUUAAGAAAGAAAAGAUAAGAUUAGUUUCUUUAUUAAUUGAUGAAUUAAAGGAGAAAAUUUGUGCGAUCACUCGCACAACCUUAGCGCCAUAGCUGGAUCUGGCAUAGCAGCGAGAGCAUUUCCAGAACUUAGAAUAUGCUAAUCUAACUUAGAAAAUGCUAACCUGUGUUGGGCUAAGUGCCUUAUAGUAUUUGCCUCAAGCUCUCUUUAAAGAUAUAAAAAUAAAAAUCCCGGGUAACGAAAAAUGGGUGAUUUGAAAAAUUCUUCCAAAAUGUUUUCGUCGCCUGAAGAAAUAUAUGCCUAACUAUUUCCAUAAGAAACUGAAUGAAAAAAGUUCCAUUUAUUAAAACUUUUAAAGCUAUUAUUUUUUCCGGAAAAUCUCUUCCAAAUCGCUGGUUUCCAACUAAACACUAAGCAUUAGAACCCCAAAAAGUGGCUUCCGGCAAAGUGGUUGCCGAACGGAGGCAGAGACAGAGUAUGGCAAAGGGGUUGCCAAAGGCAGAGGGGGGCCAACAUGCUCACCUCCAAGGUGUUGUUAGGCACCAACUCGUGCGUGAAGUAUCCAAACCAAAGACACGGCAUACUGGUGAUGAACUCGGCUUCGUUAUUCAAACCCAGUCAGGAACUCACGCUCUCCCUGUCCGCUUCCCCACCUUCAGUCGCUUCCCUGCUACUACCUCUUCUUCCCGGCUGGUAAGGACUCCGCGGUUUAUACGCCCAUAACCCCCUUCUUCUCCGAGCAGAUUUGCCUCUGAGAAGCCGCCGCUGGGAACCUCUAAAAAGAGCCUCGCCGGUGCCGAAAGAGUGGCUUAGGAUGAAGUGCCCAUUGACUAAGGUAUUGAUGCCGGGCAGUGCGCGGCGCUUGGAAAGAGACGGUGCGAGGCACGCAUAACCCGAGGUUCUCCCUUUGCCGAUCACAUACAGGAACCUUGAGAGGAGAGAACCCUUCUUUCUUAUUCUUUUAUACUGGAAAUGGAAAAUGAGAGGGUGACCAGCCACCGCAAGUUUUCUCACGGAAUCCGAAUUCCUUUCUUGAGAAGAAGAGAUCUCUUCUUUCCUUUACAUUGAAUAUCAACAGAUCACCUCCUCUUCGAAGAAGAGGUAGAAGAAGAGGUGGAAGAGGCCGGGAUCCUGACCGUCGGGUGAAACGGACUCAAUUUCAUCCGUUCAUCCCGACGGAUGAAAGGUACUGUUAAUUGGAAAGAAGGAGGAUGAAAGCUGUUCGUCCUCAUCCUAGAAAACGACUGAAAUUCUAGGAUGAGGACGACCCGGUCGCUUCAGUCAUUUUCUAGGAUGAGGACGAACAGCAGUAGGGGGCCCUAGAAAGCGACUGGGGCAUCCCUCCCAGUCCCCUAGAAAGCGACUGAAGCGACUGGGUUAAUCUCUCAUCGUCAAAGUAGGAGGAUGAAAGCGAUUAAUUAAAUAAAAUCUCUCAUCGUCAAACGAUCAAUUUCAUCCGACGGAUGAGAACGUACAACAGUAGGGGGGAAGAAAGCGAGUGGGUUAUUAAGUCUCCGUUCGUUUCGCGAAAAAUAUUAUAUUUUUAAAAAAUAUUUAUUAAAAUUUAUUUUUCAAAAAAAAUGACUAUUUUUUUAAAUUCAAUCGAAACUUAAAUUUUAAAUGAAAAAUAUUUUUCAGUUCGUUAGCUAAUUUAAUUAUUUAAAAAAUUUUAUUAAAAAUUGAAUUUUAUUAUUUUUAAUUAACAAAAAAAUAGUUUUAUUUUUUAUAUUUUUUUAAAAAGAAAUUUUAGUUAUUUGUAUUUUAAAAAAAUAUAAAUUUUUAUUCUUUAUUCUUUCUUUUUCUUUCUCUUUUUCCCUUUUUUCUUUUCCUUCCUCCUCCUUCUACCUCCUCCUUCCUCCGCCGGCGAUUCUCAAUCCACGACGAUCGGCCGGCUCGCGGCGGCGGCGGCGAAGACUUCCUCGCACUGAUCGGCGGCGGUCGUCGUGUAGGGCGUUUUUCGUUUUCCCCCCAAUCGCAUUCUCCCUGCCUCCCUUUCUUCCUCUGUCCGGCCUCAGGGGUUAACUCGGGGGAUCGGCAAUCGGGUACGUCGGCGAGACGGCCGCUCGCCGGCAAGGAGUCGGUCGGUUUCCACGUCGCGGUGGUUGAUCCUCCGUCUUCUACGGCUGCACCUACCCCUCUCUCCCCCUCCCUCCUCUCCGCGUCGGAGCUCACGGUCGGCAGACUCGCCUAGAUCGGGAGCCCGAGCUCCGCCGCCAGAUCCGACGAGCUCGCGGCUCGCCAGAGCCCAGCGAACCUCUGGCAAGCUCGGGCAAGGCCCAAGCCCCGCCCAGCUCGCCGGAUCUGGCGAGGCCCGAGCUCCGCCCCAGGCCGGCGAGAGCUCCGCCUCGCCCGAUCUGGUGAGGCCCGAUCUCGACUUCGUCAGAUCAGGCUAGGCGAAGCCUCGCCGGCCUGGGGCGAGGUUCGAGCUGACUCGUGGCCGCGGUCGGUCGCCGGCUCGCGGCCGUAGCCGGUCGCCGGCCACCGUCCUGGCCGGCGACCGGCCAAGGCUAAGGAAGAAAGUUGAAAAGGAAAGAAAGAAAAGAAAAGGAAAAAAAAUAAAGUAUAAAAAUAAAACAAAAAUGUGUUAAUGAAAAAAAGAAGUUAUGAAAAAUAUUUUUUAUUUUUGAAAAGUGAAAAAUAUUUUACUAUCCUUAAAGGUUUUUUUUUUUUUGGGUAAAGUUUCCUAUUCAGGUUGUUUUUCUCAAUCAUGGAAAAUGUUUUCCUUGAGAGUUUAUUUUUCGUGAAACGAAUACCGAAAAAUUUAAAAAAUAUUUUCUUGAAAGUUGUUUUCUGUGAAACGAACGGACCGAAGUCCAUUUCACCCUAUGGUCAGGAUGAAGGAUGAAAUUGAGUCUCCCUUUUCGCUUGAUGAAAGGCACUCUUAAUAAAAUAAACUCUUACCAGGCUUCCCAUCGGUCUUCUCUUCUUCUUUGCCCUCGACAUUCUACAUUAAGAUAUCACCUCUUGGGAUUCCUCGUCUUCUUCCCUUCGCAUUACCCCGAAUAUUAAAGCUUGGUGGGACCCACAAUCUACGGUUGUCUCACGGAAUCCGCUUUCCGCGAGAAACUUAGGCCCUAUUUGAUUUAGCUUUUCAAAUGGACUUUGAAACUCUAAAAUCCCUUAACUAAAUACAAAUGCAUUUGGUUCGAUUUUUUGAGCAACUUUAGUAAAAUGCAAUUGCAUUUCCAAAUGACUCUAAGGGUCCUUAACCCGAAACAAGUCUGAAGGUACUUUGAAAAGUUGCAUAUUUGAAAUGCAAGUCCUGAUAUUAUUCAUCUUCUCCAAAACUAUUGCACGGAAGCCAAUUGGAGGCUGACGGUCGCGCGCGCCGGCGACCACCACCUGAGGGUCACUUGACCCCGACGACCGUCGCCGAACCUUAGGUGACACCUAGGUCACGCAACCCACACGGCCGCUUAAGGUUGCGUGACCUCAGGUAAUGGUCGCCUGGGUUGGGCAACCUCAGGUGACAAUCGCUUGAGGUUGCGCGUUGCCUGGGUCACGCGACCCCAGGCAACUGUCUAUGGGCCAGAUCUGGCGCUUCGGUGGCUAAACUUAAAAAAAAAAUACAAAUAUUUUUUUUAAUUUAAUAAAAUUCAUUUACAAAUGCAAAUUUUACUAAAUUAUAUUUUGGCCAAAGUUGUAUCUCAAUGUAAUUUUACCAAACGAUAUUUGCAUUUCGGAAAACUCAUUUCACCUAAAGGCAUUUGCAUUUUGGCAAAUGCAUUCUUCAAAAGCCGAACCAAAAGGGCCCUUAGUGCCGAUCAUAUUGAGCAGCAAGCUUGGUGGGACCCAUAGUUUUCUCAGAGAAAUGAGCCGAAUUCCUCUCGAGGAAUUUAGCUCCCGUGAGAAAACUCGUGCUAAUUACAUUGAAUAUUAAACGUACUGUUGAAACAUCUUAGAUUUCUAUCAACAAUACUUUUACGAUUUAACUAUUUUUCACAUCAAAUAAAAUGAAUGUAAUUAAUAAAAUAAAAAGUUGAAUCUCUAAUUCACACAAUUUAAAAAUUUAAUAAAUUCUACUUAAGUCAUGAUGAUCUCAAUUAAUCACAAAUGAAAGUAUGAUAUUCUUGUGAAUAAUUCAAAAUAAAAAAUAUUUUAAAAAUUUUAUCUGUACGUUGUUUGUUUGAUUAAAUUUUUUUACCUCGAUGCUUUUUUCUGUACAACCCCUUUUUUUUGCCAUGCCAACUUCUAGAAUUUUCAACUAUUCGACAAUUCUUCGAAAUCUCAUUGAGCUAGGUUAAAAUACAUGUGUGUUACUAAUUUGACUUUUUAAUGUAUCUAGAAUUGUUGAAAUUGUUUUUUGCAAGUACUUUGCAACAAGAUUGAGUUUUACAUUUAAGUAGUUAUUCGGAGCAUUAUAAGGGUUAAGAAGGACAUUUCAUUUUCUUUAUGAAAAAAUAGUCAUUGAUAACUGAAAAUUUUCUAUUAAGAUUCGUUUCCAGUAUUGACUCAACCGAUUGCCCAUUCCCAUCGAAAGGAAUUUAUGGUCGAUAAGGCAUCGUUAAUAACAGUGCCAUUCUCUUUACAAUGUCUAUCGGAUAGACUUUGCUCAAACUGCUUGAGUAGGGGUGUGCAAAAAAAAUCAGUAAUUGGGAUCAUCCGAAACUAAUGGUUUCCAAGGGAACCGAAUGAAACUGAUGGUUUCAAAGGGAACUAAGUCAGUUAUCGUUUCCAAUUUAUUGGAAUCGGUGGGUACUGAUUUGGUUUUCAAUUCUUGAUAUGAAACUAUCCACUCGAAUCAGAACAAUAAUAUAUAAAUACAUAUUUAACUUUUAAGAAAAAAUUUCGAGCAAAAAAACUUAAUAAAAAUGAAAAGUACUAAAAUCCUUGAUUUGAAACUCAACACUCAUUAAUCACGAGUGACCAUCUUGUCUCACUCUCACAUCAUAUAAGUCGUUUCUAUUGCUCCCUCAUGGCCUCAACUUUCAAGCUCAUUGCCCAUCAAUUCUCGACUUUUUUAUUGAUAUUGUAAUUAAGAUAGGGGAAUUCUUUGUUUUUUGCUUUACUUUGUCUUAUGUGAAAACAUUGCACUGAAUACGUCAAGCAUGAUGGAAUCGGCCGAAACCAAAUCUUAAUAGGUGGUUCUCGAUUCAGGGCGGCGGUUCUCAACCGGACAAUGCCGACCCCGACAAGGAGAGAGGGAGGAAAAGGUCAAGGCUCCGACCAAUGGUAACGUGGGAACACAGAAAUCUGAGCAGUGGGCCCACUUCAUUUUCUUGACUUCAAGCCCGGACGGUAGAUAUGCAUUUUUUCACUCAUACCCGCUCAUAAACGAACGCGUCUCCACCUCGAACCAUAUAAGAGAUCUGGAAUUUUUAUUUUUUUCUCUCUCCUUAGCUCUCGUCCUCGUCCUCGUCCUCCUCCCUCCAGUCACCGACGCUGCGUCCAGGCUAUGGACCAGCAGCGUCACCGGCCAAGGACCAGCAGCACCUUUUUUCCUUUCAUUUUUUAAGCCAAACAAGAUGCGUAGUGGAUCUGAGGACGAAAGCCAUCUUCUUUGCCAGGCCACAUAAUCUUGAAAAAAGAGCCAUAUUCUUUGCCUUUGGUUGGCCAUGCGGUGUCAUGAGCCAGCCGCCUCAGGCCCGCGUCACUCCUUCAUGGCCGUCAUCACCUUCGCCGGCGUUGCGCCCCUUGUCCACUACCGUCGUUAACGCGAGUAGGGGCGGCUUGGCUUAGGCGUGCAGGACGCACCGCCGACGACUCCACUGGUGGCCGCGGCGAGGGGAGGUGCCUGCAACUCCAGCUAACACACUUCCAUGGCCGAACACGUUUUCACUUUAUUCCGGGCCAUUGGACACUUGUCAAAUUAUAACUGGAUGUAAGUUAAAAAUAUACGCCACGUCAGCAGCUGUUGCAUUGGUUUAAUUCCACUAACUAUUUUCUCCGAUUUAUUAUUUUUCUUAUUUUGCAUUUUCUAGAUGCCUCCUCUGUUUUCCUCGAUUGGUGAAUGGGCCCCGCUUGUUCUUCUUGUUUAUUUCUUUAAUUUUCGUUAUUUUUCGUUUCGGGGCCAGUGCGCGAAUGGGGCGUGUUGAUUAUUAGGGUUCAUUGGUGGCGGUCAUUUUUUUGGGUGUAAAUGAAAGUCACAUGCCUUCUAGAUCGUCCGGUCCAUGGUAUGCCGCGUGUAUUGAUAUGCAGAUGAGAUAUUAAACGAAAGGGAUAAUACCCUAAAAAACCCCAAACUGGUACAUUUGUGACAAAUUUACCCCAAAUUAUUUUUUUGACCAUAAAAAAUCCAAAACGGGUAUAUUUUUGACAAAUUUAUCCUAAACUGGUACACUUGUGACAAAUUUACCCUAUGUUAGUUUUCGUUAAAUUUUAUUCUCAAAUUAUUAAGUUAAAUGACACGUGACAGUUAACCAGUAUACCAAUUUAGGAUUUUACGUUCCAUUUGUCACAGUUUGCAAUUUUUAUGAUUUUUUUAUGGUAUUAAUUCAAUUUAGCAUAGGGCAUAUUUGUCACAAAUUUACUAGUUUAGGGUUUUUUGCAGUCGAAUAAAUUAGUUUGGGGUAAAUUUGUCAAAAAUGUACCAGUUUAGGGUUUUUUAUAAUCAGUCGGGGUAAAUUUGUCACAAAUUUACCAGUUUGGGGUUUUUUAUGGUAAAAAAAAUAGUUUUGGGUAAAUUUGUCACAAGUGUACCAGUUUGGGGUUUUUCAAUGUAUUAGCCCUAAACGAAAUGCUGAUGUAAGGUAGCUUGGCAUGGAAGGUGUUUUUGGGGGGUGUGAAAGAAAAAUGUGACUUUUUUAAAAAUGUUUUAUGAAAAGUCAUUUUUUAGUAAAAUGAUAAUACUUUUUUCAUUGUUUGACUGAGAUCCAAAAAUAAACUGUAAAAUAUUUUUCUUCCUUCAUUUAGAUAAAAAUUCGAGUUUUUUUAAUAUUUUUUCUUCUUUUAUUCUUUUUAAUUUAUUCUUUUUUUUCUUCUUUCUUUCUCCGUGGACCCUAGCCUCAAAGGUCAAACCUCGCACAAUCCUGACCAACUCGAGUGUCGCUGGCCUCCCAGCAAGCUCGAGCCUCGCUGGCAACGUUGGCUCGCAAUGUUAAGGCCUAGCAUUAGGCGGAGGAAGAAAGAUGAAGAAAAGGAAGAACUUUAAAAAAUAAAAAAGUAUCAAGAUAUUUUAAUGGUAAAAAUUGUCCGAGUGUGCCUUAGAUGGCCCUAGACCAGCCUCGAUGAACUCAGGCUCGAAUGUAAGGGACUCGACCUUAUUGCCAACAACUCGAGAAAUGAUUGUAGAGUUUUUCGUAAAAAAAAAAAUCUGUUAAUUAAUUUUUCUAAGCGAAUUAAAUACAGGAAUAUGAGGAAAAUACUUUAAAAUAUUUUUCUGUAAACAAAUGGAGCCUUGACUUGUCAUUACUAAAAUUUCUCAUUUCUUCAAUUUUAUUUUAAAUACACGAUAUGAGUGGUUAGAUUGCAAGUGAAUGUCAGCCGAUACCUACGAAGUUGAUUAAUUGGGUUCGGUUGCCACAAGUCAAGGUUAGGUGGUUCUCUAAUUUUUCAAAUGUUUUUAAACCAAUCUUAUUCUAUCUUGACUUUAGCGGUUACUUCAAGUAGAAGGCGAAAACACCUGGAAACAAACGAGAAACAACAUGUCCAGAAAGAUGUGGACAUUUUCCUUUUAUAACAUGGCAAGUCCUCCAACUGUCACAUUUCAUUAAGCUAAAUGACAUGCAAAGUAUACUAUAAUCACUUGAAUUAGAUCUGUUAUUUCUUUUGACAAAAAAGGUUAACGACAGCACCAAAUUCAUUAGGAGAAAUAAUCUCUUGCACAUAAACAAUUGAAAAUAUUUUGAUAUUUAAAUAUUAAUCUGAGAAAGAUUCGAUCUUUAUAUAUAUGUUUGGGUAUUUGUUUAACUAAAAAAAUUGAGGAUAUUUCUUUGAUAUAUAUAAGUGUUAAUAAUAACCAAGCCAAAUUUCAUGCAAAGUACUUUGCAUGAAAUUGGUAGUUUGGGAUAUUGUUUUAUUUUGUGCUACAUUAACCAAUUAAAAACACUUAGAAAAAAGUAUUUGAAAUUCUUCAAUUAUCCAUUUUCCCGACAAUUCUAGUAUAAUAAGCAAUUAAAAGACAAGAAUGGCCUCGGGUCUAUUUCCUUCAACUACGCCUAGUGAAGGGACAUUCAACGAUCAAUGAAGGCAGGCAACUUCCUCGGAAGUCAAACUUUUCGGCCUUGGAGUAGCUCAUCGGUUAAUUGACCGGCCGAUAUUAGUUAAUUUUAGUUCAGGGGAAAAUAAUUUUUUUCUUCACCAAUUAAGAGAAGGGCUGCUUUAUAUUGUAACCACAAAAUAUCUGCAUCAUUUUCACAGGUCGCCGUAUUGAACUAAUAAUAAUAAUAAUAAUAAGUGAGUAUUACCUGGGAGGAUAUAAAUAUAUUUAAAAAUAUAUUUAAAGUUUAAAAAGGAAAGAAUAAAUAGAAUAAGAAACGAGAAAGAAAAAGAGAGAAAAUAUUCAAACGCGCAAUAGCUGCAGGCUGUCUUAGUUUGGCGUAGGUGAGAAUUUCGAGAAGUGCACGUAGUCGUGCUAUCAUUAUACGCUCUCUCCUCCACACCCCCCCCUAAAAAUAAUAAUAAUAAUUAGAGGCGCGAUAUUCACUACUUUGAUUAGGAGUGAGUAUGAUCUGGAUUGGGCCAAUCCGCCCCAUAACCGUAGGAUCAACCUGCACAGUGCUGGUUAUUUAUUUUUGGGAUUAAGGACUGACCCUAUUAAGCUUGGGAUCGAGGAUCGGACUGACUUAAUGGAUUCGGUCCGAUUCUAAGGUCAAUCUAGGACUAAUCGAUAAUUUUUUAUUUCAUUUUUUUUACUCCUUAAAAAAGCGAUUGAGGACCGAACUAACUCAAUAGAUUCGGUUCGAUUUUAGGAUUAACCCAAAACCAACCAAUAAUUUUUUAUUUACUCAUUAAAAAAUGAUUGAAGACCGAAUUGGCCCAAUGGGUUCAAUCCGGCUUCAAGGUCAACCAAGGAUCAACCAAUAAUUUUUUAUUUCAUUUUUUAUAUUCCUUGAAAAGGCAACUGAGAACCAUACUAACCAAAUGGAUUCGCUAGUGAGUGAAGUCAGACAAGCGACGAGGGUCAAGUGGGGUGAGCAUUGAACAUAAUGAGUAUCUGAGAAACAACAAGCCAAGCGAGCAUCGAGCGGCAACCAACACGAGUGAUCCAAAGUGAGCAAGGCGAGUGUUAAGUGGUGAGCAAAUAAGUUGUUUCUUUUUAUUUUGGCAAAUUAAAGACUAAGAGGACAAAUAAGACAUAAGAAAACGAAUACUAAAUGAUGAUGCUAUAAUGAGCUAUUUAUGCCUUUUUGGACGUCGUGAGGACUCCUUACGAACAUUUUCCUCAUUCGUAAAUUAUGACUAUUGAUGCCCUAUAAAAAAUUAAAAAUAUGUUAUUAAAAAAAUAUAAAAUUACUUAAACUCCUCACUAAAAAGUUGUUUAAUAUCGUUGACGUUGUUUAUUUUGAUGUUUUUUUAUAUAAAAAAAUUAUAAGUAAUAUAUAUAUAGUUAUGGUAGGUCCAGAUUAGACCGACCCUGAACUCUCAGAAUCGAUGAUCAACCCAUAUAGUGCUGGUCCAAGAAUUCUAGAACCAAAAACCGAUCCAAUCUUCCUAGGAACCGGGUCAGACCGACAGGGUUGUACCGGUCUAGGGUCGGUCCAGAGUUAACCCUGGACCGAUGCUCACCCUUAACUUUGACCGAAGAAAAAAAGCAAAAUUAAAAUGAUAACAAUAAAAAUGAAAAAGACACUCGUGCUUAUCUCCAUCCAGCUGUAUGCUUCAGCCUUUCAUGCCUCUCGAAGUUAGAGGCAUGAUAUUCGCUACUUUGAGUGAAGAAAAAAAGCAAAAUUAAAAUGAUAACAAUAAAAAAGGAAAAAGAAUUCGUGCUUAUCUCCAUCCAGCUAUAUGCUUCAGCCUUUCUGCAAGGAACGCCAGAAAAUGCCAAAAGCAAAAGGAAAAGCAAGCCAUUCUCCCUUCUCCAAUGUUAUCAAUGGCAAGCGCGAGCACGAUGGGCUUUGCCACUUUUUGCGCUCGGUGCUUCGUCUAUUGCAGUGAUUCAUGGAAAGAAAAAAUGGAGCUGAUCUGUCUGUCAUUUGCCACGUGCAUUAAUAUAUAUGCAUAAUAACGAGAUAUCGGACAAGAAUGCCGGCCGAGGAUGGAUUUGGAUAGAAGGUACUGAUUUGGGUUUUUUAGCGAGAUGAAGAUUAGUUUUUGAUAAAUAUAUUAUGAGUUAUCAAUUUAUAAAUCUUUACAAGAUAAAAAUUAUUUUAUAACAAAUGAUUCGAGAUGUACCAGUUUAAGAUUCGUUUCUUCCUGAAUUAAUCGGAAGGCAGACUGUAAACGUACCCAGAAGAAAAAUGCAGAUGUGCCGAGAUCUUGAGAGACUAGAUUUAAAUUUUCAUUCCCAAAUAAAGCUAGCAAUAAUUCCUAAAUAAGGUGGGCAAGGAAUUAACCAGAAUUGACCAGAGAUCCUGCAGCCCUACUAAUUCCGCAAAAGGAAGACCAAAAUUAAAAGAAAGUGAAAGUGAAAGAGGAGAUGACUUUCAAUUCAGGAGAAAAUAAUUUUUUUCAAUUAAAAAGAGGUCUCCUUAUGUUGUGACCGGGAAACAUGUAAAUUAUCUCCGCACGUCGCGGUAUCAAUUAAUAAUAUAAUAAUAAUAAUAAUAAUAUAUAAAGAGAGUAUUACGUAUGUUGGCCGAAUAUACAUAUUUAAAAGAGAAAGAAUAAAUUGAAUAAGAAAUGAGAAAGUAAAAAGAGAGAAAAUAUUCAAACGUGUAAAAAAGCUGCAGGCUCUCUGACUUUAGCGUAGGUGGGGACCCCGACAGUUGCACAUGACCAACCUAUUAUUAUAGCCAAGACCCCACUAUUAAUCGUAUUUGGUUUGGCGUUGUGGCCACGCAUGACUUUUGCUCAGAAAAUAUCGAAUAAGCCGGCCCAUUCAGGAAACGACACGCGGCGCUCCUAUCACUCCGUUCAAGCUUCUGCAUCCCUUUUCUCGAUCCCCUUAGCACCGAUCGUUUCACCCAGCAAAAAAAUUUAGGGUUUGGAGCUUUUUUCUUGCCCAUUUUAGUCUUUCUACCCGCACUCGGCAUCUACCAUCGUGGAAAUCGCUCCCGAAUCUAAGCAAUUUUCAAAAGUGAACACGCACGCACACACAAACGAGAAAAGCGCCGACGUAAAUAUAUAUAUAUAAUUUUUUUUUUCUCGAUGGGAUCGGUCUUCCGCCUGACCUUUCCGUUCGUUAACUUAAAAUAAAAAGCAGAUCGGCAAGGCCUUAAAAAGGGUAUUUGUGAUUUGAUUCGAUCUUGAUCGAUUGAUGAAUUAAUGAAGGGACGGACGGCCGGACGGACGGGAGUGAAGGAGAGAUUUUUACCGAUUGAUUGAGCCCUACUUGGUCUGGAAGAACAUGUACAAAUCAGUGGGAUGGAGGCGAAGAAGAGAGUUGUUGUCACAGUAGAGAAAGAAGAAGGCGACACCACAAUAAUUGAAGAGAGAGAGAGGAGGCAGAAGUUUGAAUGGAGAGAGAGGGGAAGUGGGACCCAUACGACGCGCUUCGUCCACUCACUGGGCCGGCCUACCCAUAAUUACAGGCAUGACAUUCGCUGUUUUGACUGAAUAAAAAAAAAGCAAAAGAUAAUAAUAAUAAUAAAAGAAAACUUUGAUUCUGAUUAGCUCAACCGAGGCUCCAGCCGUACGCGCUUUUCGCGGUUUCAGCGUGUCAGCGAAGCGCCCACGAAAAAGCCAAAAGCAAAAGGAAAAUUAUUUUUGAUAUUCGAACAAUUCAAUAUUUUUUUUUAUGACCUAAGAAACCUGUAAACCGACGAGCAAAUCUAAAGCUCACGGAGAAACUCACCACCCCUAUGAAGCGGAUAAGUCCAUCUGCGAUGUGCUGGAAAUUCGAACAAUUCAAUAUUUUAAAGAGCAAAAAUCACUGAAAACUCUAGUCAUAUCUACCUCAAAUUUUCUUUAAUUCACCCCCAACACAUUUACGCCCCAAAAAAUUCUAUGAAAUCAAAAUUUUUACGACAUAUUUAUCUCAAAAUUUAGUUUAAAUAUAUCAUGUAAGUACAAUAUUAGGAUUUUUGGCAUUAUAAAAAAUAAUCUGAGGUAAAUAUAUUACACAAGUAUAAAUUUUAGGAUUUUUUAUGUCAUAAUUAAAAUUUAAGGUAAAUGUGUUGUAAUGAGCAUAGUUUAUAGUUCUUUUUGACUUUUUUUUCCCAUUUUUGGAAGUUCGCUUUUGAUAGCUCUAUUAACAUGUUAUUAACUUAUACUAAGUUAGAGUUAUUUUACAUAUUUUAAACAACAAAUAAUGUAAUUUUUAUGAGAAAAUAUUUGGAUUUCUCUUUGUUAAUAUGGAGAAAUUAAGAAAAAAUUGCAAAAAGAAGGAAAUGAAUACACCUCUCACACAAGCUUUAGAAGGUGGAUGUCAAAUCAGGGAUCCUAUGAUUUAUUUCCUAAUUUUAGGUAAAAAAUAAGUAAUUACGGGAGUUUUAGAGAUCAUUCUAUAAAUAUGAAAAUAUUGACAACUUGGGGGUAUGGUUAAGUUUUUAUUUUUAGAUUAUUUUUAUUAUUAUUUUGAGAGUUUUUUUAAAUAUUUUGGAAGGAAGAUAAAAAGUGGUGACAAAUGCAAAAGUCAAUCAAAUGCUGCUUACCUCCUUCAGACCUAUCACGUGGCUUGUGGCGCCCGAGUUUGCAGGGAUUGCUCUCGGUCCAAUUGAGCUUAUUUACUGUAUGCAACAAUUCCGCAUUCGCUUUUAUUUGCAAAUCCAUUAAUCUCGUUCCUAUAAUUUGUACUGGAGAGGAGGCGGAAAGAGUAUUUGACGUUUAAUAACAGAGCUUAAAUCUUAUUUUUACCUAAACUUGUUCCUUCCAAGAUCUAUCACUUUUUUCUAUCCGAACAUAGGAACAAAUCUCUGUGAUGGCUACUCUCCCACUAAACAGAUCUCGAAACUUUGACAAACUUCCUUUUUUUCUCCACACAAGUGUGAACAAGCCAAGGUUCCUCCAUCAAUAAAUCUUAAGACAAUAGCUCUAUAAAGGAUCUAGAUGGCCUCUUGCAUAGCUGGAACUUACCUAAUUAAGAACCUGAAACCUACCUGUUAAACAGGUUUAUUAUUUUUUGAAACUUAGAAUCUACCAUGCAUAUCUUGGAACCUGAAACCUACAGGUUCCUAUCGGUCCGUUCUCAAGUUCCAUAUUCUACCUCGGAACCAUGCUCACCCCUAAAACUUACCCAGUUUUCUAUACCCUUUCUAGUGCCCCACAACCAAAUGAGGACUCAGUGGCUAUAUCUAGUUGUUGAUAGUCCGUAGCUUUUCUUUGGCUUCAACAGAUCAAUUUAGGUUUAAGUAGCAAAAAGGUACUUGUGAAUAGAAGGUGAGCAGUUUUAAGUUCUAUCCAGGUUCCACUUGAUAUCUAGAAUUUACCUAUUGGAAUAAGUUCUCCAGUUUCUCAUUUAUUGGAAUUUGGAACCUAUUUUGUAUAUCUUGGAGUCUAGAACAAACUUGCAACGGUCUGAUUCUCUAGUUCCAAGUUCUACAGUAAAACCAUGCUCAUCCCUACAAUCAUAGCCUCUCUACUUUGUUCGCUUAUUCUUGUUACUCAUGUAUAACACUAAUAACCUUCCCUUGACAUGAGAAUUACACACAAACUCCUUGACCUUUUGGCACUGAGUAGGCGUCAACCCCCAUGUAUGGUCUUACGACUUUGUGAAGACCUGUGUUUUCAAUAAACAGUCACCAUGGUUUGAUUACUGUGAACCCCUUUGUAUGCUCUUUCUUCUUGUAGCAAUCAAUCUCUUGUGGCAUUUCAAAAGAGACGAGUCUUGGAACGGAGGCCGCUACGAUCAUGCUAAUAGCCAAUGGAUUUUGAGCCCCCUAAAGUCACUUGAAAAAAAGCUAGGAUGUUUGAGUAAUAUUUUUUUGUACCACUUUGAAGAAAUGCCAACAUUGGUAAAGUUAAAAGCUCAAUAUAAGUCCUCACUUACUUUGAGCUUGCAACAUUUUCGGAAGGCAGCUUCCAAGGUUGAUUUGCUUUUUUUUUUAUCCAAAGUUGCCUCAACUAGUAUUUUCAUAUUCUUGACUUGCCCUUGCUCAUGAUUGUUCUUCUUCUCCAACCGUUGAAUUCCUGAGCUUGUUGUGCUUGGGUUCCCGCCAAAGAUCGCGACGCCUGGGCUUUUGCUCGGUUCAUCCUCUCCAAUGUCAGCCUCGCUCGCGACUGUUAGAUGAGAUCUGAAGGUAGAGAGUCGAUGAUGGUCGAGCGUUGUCGACGGUCAAGAGUCAACUGUCGAGCGUCAAGGCGGCUCCUGGGACCGCGCAAUGGCUGACUUUUGUCAAGCGUCAUCGCAUCAGGCAACCACUUGGAGUCGUGUGACCCUGGCGUUGCUGCGCCAACCUAGGCGCAGCAUGACCUUGGAACCCACGAGCCUUGCCUAACCCCUUAGAGACAAUGAUGAGUGGGGCGGUGCUAUUCAUCAGAGAGAGCCUCAUGAUCACACCAACCCAGGUUGAGAUCCUGGUGGGUUCGCUCAAUGUGGUCUCGCUGGUUGGAUCUCUCGCCAGUGGCCGGACCUCCGAUUGGAUUGGCCGGCGAUCCAUGAUAGUCCCUGCAGCCUCCACGUUCCUAAUCGGUGCACUUCUGAUGGGCCUUGCUCCAUCCUCCAUGUUCCUAAUGGCUGGGAGGGUAGUCGUGGGAAUCGGUGUUGGGUACGCCCUCAUGAUUGCCCCAGUCUACACCACCGAGAUCUCUCCAGCGAUGACCGGGAUUCCUGUCUUCGUUGCCUGAAGUCCUUUAUCAAUGUUGGGAUUUUACUUGGGUAUGUAUCCAACUAUGCCUUAUAGGCCUACCGGUUGAUAUAAGUUGGAGGCUCAUGCUUGGGUUAGCUGGAGUGCGGGCAAUUGCGAUCAGGGCAGGCGUGAUGACGGUACCAGAGUCAUCAAGGUGGCUGGUGAUGGAGGGCAGAUUCGAAGAAGCGAAGAGGGUGCUGACCAAGACAUCAAAAGAAUAAGAUGAGGUAGAAGCUGCAUCGAGGCUAAACCAGAUGAAGACCGACAUAGGGGUUGAUCGAUCCACGGGCCGGCUUUGGCCUGAUGGCUCGGGCAGGGCUUUGGAAGGAGGUCCUCCGGAGGCACAUCCGCCGGAUUCUCAUGGCAGCCAUUGGACUUAACUUCGUCAUGCAGGCGUUAAGGAAUGCCGCGUCGUGUACUUUAGCAAUAACCAACAGCCUUUAGGGGUGACUAUCAUAAUGGGACUUGCCAAGAUAUUCUUUGCCUUUGCUUCAGCUCUUUUCUUGGACCAUUUUGGGAGGAGGCCUCUCUUGAAGCUGGGCUCGGCCGGAAUGGCGGUCUCCCUGGCGGGCCUGGGCUCAAUGUUCCUCAAGCGAUCAGGGACCAAGCCGAUGUGGGCCAUCAUGCUGUGCGUGGAGGCCGUCUGUGCGGACGUCUCCGUUCUUUUCAAUAAGGCUCGGGCCCAUCACUUGAGUCUACUCGUCCGAGAUAUUCCCGACAAGGCUGCAGGCCUGGGGCACGAGCCUGGCCAUAGCGGUGAACCAGGUGGUGAGCAGCACGGUGGCGAUGUCGUUUUUGAGCAUUUCGAGAGAGAUAACGUUUGGCUUAUAUUAGUUCCGGAUAAUUGAAUGUGCCUCAACUGGGAAAGUCCGUAUUUGGACUUGGAUCGUUGUUGACUCGGAGAAGUCCGAAUUUUGUUCAGAAAAACAAGAAAAGGAAAUCCAAGUUAGUCGGUCAAAAUCGAAAACGGAAAGUGCUGACCAUUGACCAAAUUUGGAAUCUUGAACGGGAUUUACGUGUCCAUGUUGCAGUAGGCCUGUGUAGGCUUGUCUUGACAGUUUAUAUAAUCUGAUUGAGGGCCUGCCAUUGUUGAUACGAAGUCUUGAAGUGCCGAAAGAGUGCUUGAGAAGCGUGGGCUAUCUUCGUGUCAUUCGUGUGGCGAAGCUUAUUUGUGCAAUUACAUCCAAAAAGAAUUGAUGUUCAAGCUAAUUAAAUUUUAUGUUAAGAUUUGCAUAUAAUUAUUUCAUGAGAUUAAGUGAUUAUUUCGCAAGAAAUUAUAAGGCUAAACACUAUGUGAGUUAUUAGGUGUAAUUGGGGUUUAUGAAACACUAAGAGUGUUUAAGUGACUUGAGUGUGUAAUCUUAUUUGUUGAUACGAAGUCUUGAAGUGCCGAAAGAGUGCUUGAGAGGCGUGAGCUAUUUUCGUGUCAUUCGUGCCGCGAAGCUUAUUUGUGCAAUUACAUCCAAAAAGAAUUGAUGUUCAAGCUAAUUAAAUUUUGUGUUAAGAUUUGCGUAUAAUUCUUUCAUGAGAUUAAGUGAUUAUUUCGCAAGAAAUUAUACGGCUAAAUAUUACGUGAGCUAUUAGGUGUAAUUGGGGCUUGGGAAACACUAAAAGUGUUUGAGUGACUUGAGUGCGUAAUAUUCACUGUAUCACUUAAUUUAUAGUGAAAUUCACUAAUACUCUUUCCGUGGAUAUAAGUCACUAUAACCAAACCACAUAAAUCUUGUGUAAGAUUAAUUUUUUAAUUUUGUUUAUUUUAUUAUUCGAUCGCUCGUUUUCCACAAUAAUUGGUAUUAGAGCAAGACUUGAUUAAGUUGAAUCAAAUCGAUGACGACAAAAGAAGGAAAAGUGAGAGUUGAUAGAUUUGAUAGGAAUGACUUUAGUUUCUGGAAAACAAAAUCUGACACGAAAUAAAAAUGUAUGAAUUGUGGCUUAUAUUAGUUUCGGAUAAUUGAACGUGCCUCGGUUAGGAAAGUCCCAUAUUUGGACUUGGAUCGUUGUUGACUCGGAGAAGUCCGAAUUUUGUUCCGAAAAGCAAGAAAAGGAUAUCCAAGUAAGUCGGUCCAAGGAAAAUCUAAAACGGAAAGUGCUGAUCAUUGACCAAAUUUGGAAUCUUGAAUGGGAUUUACGUGUCCAUGUUGGAAUCGGCCUAUGUAGGCUUAUCUUGACAAUGUAUAUAUUUUGACUGAGAGAGCUCUCACACGUCAUUGUUGAUACGAAGUCUUGAAAUGCCCAAAGAGUGCUUGAGAAGUGUGUACUAUCUUCGUGUCAUUCAUGCGGUGAAGGUUACUCGUGCAAUUAUAUCGAAGAAAAAUUAGUGUUCAAGCCAAUUAAAUCUUGUGUUGAGUUUUAUGUAUAAUUCUUUUAUGAGAUUGAAAGAUUAUUUUGAGAAGAAUCAUGAGGCUAAACACUACCUGAGUAUUAUGUGUAAUUGGGGCUUAGAAAACACCAAGAAUAUUUAACUAACUUGAGCGUGUAAUCUUUGUUGUAUCACUUGAUCUAUAAUAAAAUUUAACGCUGCUUUCUACAUAGACAUAGGUCACUACUACCGAAUUAUGUAAAUUUAGUAUAUGAAUUAUUUUCUUUAUUUUGUCUAUUUUAUUGUUCAAUUGCUCACUUUUUGCAAUAAAAAUUGCAUUGGGCCAGGCUAUUAUUGUACUCUCUCGCCUAAUUGGAAGUGCGACAUUCGCUGUUUUGACUGAAUGGAGAAAAGGCGAAAAAUAAUAAUGAUAAAAAGGAGAUUCUAGAUUGGCCCGAUCCACCGCCUGUACAUGUUUCGGCGUUUUAGCAAAGAACACCAGAAAAAAAAACCAAAGGGAAAAGGAAAAAUUAGUUUUGAUAUAUUUAAUCAGAUGAAAUUAACAAUUUAAUAUUUAUAGAGUUAGUUUUUGACCGUUGUGUUAACAUGUUACCAACGGAUACUAAGCCACUCCCCAAAAAUGCCUUUUAAUGUUAUUAUUGGCAAGGACGAUGGGUUUUACUCACAUUGUGCGUUCGGUGCAUUGUGUUGUGGUGAUAGAUGGAAAAGCAGAGGCAAUAAUAUUUGCAUAAACAUUGUGACAGGUUAAUGUUUUCUUAUGGAUCAAUUUCUCUUGCAAUAUGCCGUGUGAACUUUUAUGUACUUUAUCCUCCGCGAGAGAGAGAAAUGGCGUGUUGAAUUUGCUUUUAUCAAUUAUGGUGUUUGUUGGAAUCUAAUGUGCAACAGUGCAAGUGCUCCUCGUCACCCUUCAUGAUUUAGACCUUUUGAAUUGGUAAUCCUUCAUCAAUAGCUCAAAAUUAAGCUAUCGUUUCACCUUUGAGCUCAAAUCCUAAAACUCAAAGCAGCUACCCAAUUGCUUCCGCUCGAAAUUUGGAGCCUCUUCACAAAGCUUUGCCAAAGUCACCCUUAGAGUUGAUGAUAAUCGUGUGGACUAUUGAGCAAAACAGAAACAGUGGGACCAUGUUGGGUUUCAUUAACGACGCAAAUUAAGCAAAAUCUGACAGAGGAUGUGCUCAAGCUCUUCAUUACUAUUUUGCUAUGGAAGCCCCAAAGCAGUGUGGUUUUGCAAAGCCAGGGGCUAAAAAGGGAUGAAAUCGGAAGCCAAAAACAAUUGGGAAAUGAAGUGUUGGGAAAGACAGAGCAUUUCCCUUCUAUAUUUAGUUUUGUAGCACGUCUCACGUCAAUUAGCAUUCUCAUAAUAUGAUAAUGUCUAUCGAGUUCAUGUCAUAAUGAAAUGUCGCGCCCUAAACGGAAACUUGGAUUCCCUAUGGCAAGAACAUUUUCAUUUCCUGUCGCGAUUCUCUCAACCAAUUCAUUUAAGGACUUUUAGGGUGUGUUUGUUUUGCGAAAAACAAUUUUCGGGAAAACGUUUUCCUCAUUUUCUAGCGUUUGGUUCAUUUAGAAAAAUGAGUCAACAGAAAAUAUUUUCCUAAUCAACAGCAAAUGUUUUCCUUCCAAAACUUAAAUUCAGGAAAACGAUUUCCCUUUUAAAAGAACCGAAAAACAUUUUCCAAAAUGUUUUAAAGUCCUUGCUUAAAAAAAUUAUUAUUAAAAAUAAUUUCUAAUUAAAAAUUUUGAAUUUGUUAUUAUUAUAUCUUUUCUUUUCUUUCUUCUUUCUUUUUUUUUUUUUCUUGUUUUCUCUUUUCUUUCUUUGCGUGUGAACGUAAACCCUAACUCCUCCUCCCCUCUCUCCUUCUCCUUCGCCCUCGCCCCCUCCCUUUCGUCACUGCUACCUCCUCCAACCCUUAGCCCCUCCUACGCUCUCGUUGGCUUUACUCCCUCUUCCUCUUUGUCGGUGUCUUCUACACCUUCAAUCAUUUUUCAAAUGUAAUCCAAAUACCAAAAAAUAUUUUCAGUCACAUAUCACUAAACAAAGGAAAAUUAACUAUUUUCUUGGAAAACAGUUUUCAGAAAAAUAUUUUCCAAAAACGUUAUGUUUUUCAUGGAAAAAAAAAAAAAAAAAAACACCUUUAGGAGCGUUUUCGCAAUUGGGAGCUCCAAUCUUGCGCAUGGCCUACGGACGCCUCUCACCCUCCGACUACUUCGGACAGACAACCCUUCGGACGAGAAAACCUGACACCUUCCCCCGGCAAUUUGGAUCAAGUACCCCCUAGAUUCGGCUGCUCAUUCCAUCAUAGCCUUUCUGACGUCAUACUGCUCCACUAUGUCCUCUGCACCUAUCACACGGCACGUGGCACUUGAGGUUGCUAGGAUGGCUCACUCAUGACUUGGUCUUAAAUAGGAGUGUGUAACUCAAUCAAGUCUACUUCGGAACUAGAUCAGCUCACCCGAAAAAUAAGUUCGGAAAUCAAUUCCCAAAUUUUGAAAUCAGUUCUGAGUGAAUAUCUACUUGAUAACCAAAUUGACCAACCUGGUUUAAAAAUCAGUUUUAUAAGCCCAAAAGUUCAAAAUUCUAUCUUUUUUCCCCGAUUUCUAAUUUUAGAAUUACAUUUUUUUCCUCUCGCAUGGUGCCUCUUCUUCUUCGUUCCUCUUCUUGGCUUGCUUCCCUCCCUCACCGGCUCACAAUCACAAUCACACCAUCAAUUGCAUAGGAUUUUUGCUUCGCCUUGUAAUGUUUAUUUAUGAUAAUUAGCCUUAUGUAUUCUUUAAUUUCAUUCAGUAAAAAAGUUUAUGUACUUAUUGAUUACAUGUGCUUAAUGUUUCAAUACAAAUUAAAACGAUUACGCUAUUUUUUCGCAUACUAAUAUAAAAUUCAAAACUAUAUAGGAUAUUAGACAGUUACAAAACAAGUUCCUCUAGGAGUUGAAGAAUAAGGUGGUUCUAGAAUAGAGUCCAGUGCAAAUAAGUUCGAAUAAGAGUUCAAAAAAAUGAACCCAUUAUAAUAGGAUCGGGUAUAGGGUCUAGAUCUGAAACCUACCCACCUUAGACUUGAUCACCCUUAGUGUUAAAUUUAAUUUGCCAUUGCACAAAAUAAACGAACCCCAACAUCCCAGUUCAGCUCACGGCAGAAGACAUUGGCGGCGUCGAUUGACUUCAAUUAGAAUAAGGUCGGUGCACGAUAAUGCUACCAAAUGGUACAACUUAUUGUCGACUACAGCAAAGUACGGGGCCACUUGGACAAACAAUUACACCGGUUAAUUUUGGCAGGUCCCGAACCUAUCUUGCCAUCUACGUUGAAGAGUAAAAACAAGGAGGUUGAGAAACUAUUGAAGGCCACCAUCCUUCCCAUCUCCAGAUCUAGGGGUGUUUGGCCGCUAGGACCCGCGCUACUCGAGCCAGAUGGAUACAAGCCAUAUUCACCUGUUGGUUCCCCGUAAUGGCCGUCGCCGUAUUCGAGGUCGAGGUUACUCGGCCCGGCUCCGAUCCCAUCAUCAAGGUCAGCGGCAGAUUGAUGCCCUUCGAGGACUGGAGCAACCUGCUCAAUUUUUCAAAAGCUGAUUAUCAGAGUUCCUAUUUCCAUCUAACCUAACAAAUCUUAGAUCAACUAGACAUGAGUCCACGAACAAAAAGAGCUGUCACCAGUCAUGGAUGUAGCAAGUGGGCAAGUACGAAAGAAAGAUCAAACUCCGGCUGCUGAAAUAUUACCACACUCAUUUUCGGUCGACACUCCGCGAAUUCACGUGUGCAAGCAGCAGCGCAGGCCACCAUUCGAGCCAUUUCACUGCGGCUAUAAUGGUCCUGCAGCCUGGGGUCGACAAGAAAGUCGAAAUUUCCAUCUCCCAGAGCUUGUGUGAGUUGAGGCCUCGCCCGUAAAUCAUGACAACGAUUCUACUUCAAUAUUGCAAUUUCAACGACUGAAAACAUCAAGUUCGGAAUCCCAUAGUAAGGUAGCCCCGGGCUAUGAUGUAAACAUGAGAAUUGCACGACUUACGGAAAAAGCCAGAUUAUCAUUAGAAGAAUUAAGUGGCGAACCCACAGGUCUGCGGCCGGUAAUCAACUCCAAGAGGACGACCCCAAAUGAGAACGUAUCUGCGUUUGGGGUUAGUUCCCCAAUCGAGGCGUAUUCUGGAGCAACAUACCUACAGGAAGAACAUGAACUGAGCUUCAACAUAAUUGAACUAGUCAAGUACGUAGAAAACUGUGCUUCAACAAAUAAAGCUCGAGGUGAACUAGCAAGCAAUGCCUCAUUUUACAUACAUUUAGAAACAUCUAAGACAGAUUAAUAACCAGCGCAUGUCCCUGUCCUCUGAUUCAAAAUAAGAAGGCAGCAAAUCUUACCCGAUGGUGCCCACCACACUAGAGUCACCGUGAUUAAAUUCAGAAGCAAAUUUUGUGACCCCAAAAUCCGCAAUCUGAGAGAGACGAGCAUUCGGUAGUCAGCAAUCUGCUUGCUCUGAGAGUUAAGCAAUGGAGGUCGGAAAUAAUCAAAUUUUCAUUUUUAAAUUUAUCAAUAAGUUCUUUUUUUCUUCUUUUUUUUAACCUUCGCCUCAAAAUUGAAGUUCAAUAGUAUGUUGGCUGCCUUGAUAUCGCGAUGUAUGAUCGUAGGAUGACCUGCACGAACGUUUCUAUUGUAUAUAAGAGCAAAGCUCUGGGAUUCACAGUUUUAAUCAGCUAUAAAUCCAAUAAAGAUGAAAGGCAAAACUACAUCUGAAACUUACAAUCCUCGUGAAGAUAUGCCAAUCCUUUGGCAGAGCCAACAGCAACUCUCAUUUUGGCCUCCCAAGCUAGGGUCGGCUGUCCACCGCCUGCAACGAUUACUUUCCAUCAGAAUCCUUUCCAUUAAACGCAAAAGGCGCCAACUUCACUGAUUAGUGUUCCCUUUCUUUUUUUCACAUAACCCCAAAUGCUAAAUCGGACGCCGAAAUAAGACUGAUAAAGAAAGAGGGGGCAACAUAAAAGCUCGCAGCAUGAAUUGGCACUGAA
rnacentral:lncRNA from 1 species